GACGAACGCUGGCGGCGUGCUUAACACAUGCAAGUCGAACGGAAAGGCCCUGCUUUUGUGGGGUGCUCGAGUGGCGAACGGGUGAGUAACACGUGAGUACCCUGCCUUUGACUUUGGGAUAACUCCAGGAAACUGGGGCUAAUACCGGAUAGGAGCUCCUGCUGCAUGGGGGGGGUUGGAAAGUUUCGGCGGUUGGGGAUGGACUCGCGGCUUAUCAGCUUGUUGGUGGGGUAGUGGCUUACCAAGGCUUUGACGGGUAGCCGGCCUGAGAGGGUGACCGGCCACAUUGGGACUGAGAUACGGCCCAGACUCCUACGGGAGGCAGCAGUGGGGAAUAUUGCACAAUGGGCGGAAGCCUGAUGCAGCAACGCCGCGUGCGGGAUGACGGCCUUCGGGUUGUAAACCGCUUUCGCCUGUGACGAAGCGUGAGUGACGGUAAUGGGUAAAGAAGCACCGGCUAACUACGUG
rnacentral:rRNA from 1 species